rnacentral:rRNA from 4 species
AAAUUGAAGAGUUUGAUCAUGGCUCAGAUUGAACGCUGGCGGCAGGCCUAACACAUGCAAGUCGAACGGUAACAGGAAGCAGCUUGCUGCUUCGCUGACGAGUGGC